CACGUAGGGCGCAAGCGUUGUCCGGAAUUAUUGGGCGUAAAGAGCUCGUAGGCGGUCUGUUGCGUCCGCUGUGAAAACUCGGGGCUUAACCCCGAGCCUGCAGUGGAUACGGGCAGACUAGAGGUAGGUAGGGGAGAAUGGAAUUCCCGGUGUAGCGGUGAAAUGCGCAGAUAUCGGGAGGAACACCGGUGGCGAAGGCGGCAUCCUGGACCGACACUGACACUGAGGAGCGAAAGCCAGGGGAGCAAACGGG
rnacentral:rRNA from 1 species